UUAAGCGACUAAGCGUACACGGUGGAUGCCCUGGCAGUCAGAGGCGAUGAAGGACGUGCUAAUCUGCGAUAAGCGUCGGUAAGGUGAUAUGAACCGUUAUAACCGGCGAUUUCCGAAUGGGGAAACCCAGUGUGAUUCGUCACACUAUCAUUAACUGAAUCCAUAGGUUAAUGAGGCGAACCGGGGGAACUGAAACAUCUAAGUACCCCGAGGAAAAGAAAUCAACCGAGAUUCCCCCAGUAGCGGCGAGCGAACGGGGAGCAGCCCAGAGCCUGAAUCAGUGUGUGUGUUAGUGGAAGCGUCUGGAAAGGCGCGCGAUACAGGGUGACAGCCCCGUACACAAAAAUGCACAUGCUGUGAGCUCGAUGAGUAGGGCGGGACACGUGGUAUCCUGUCUGAAUAUGGGGGGACCAUCCUCCAAGGCUAAAUACUCCUGACUGACCGAUAGUGAACCAGUACCGUGAGGGAAAGGCGAAAAGAACCCCGGCGAGGGGAGUGAAAAAGAACCUGAAACCGUGUACGUACAAGCAGUGGGAGCACGCUUAGGCGUGUGACUGCGUACCUUUUGUAUAAUGGGUCAGCGACUUAUAUUCUGUAGCAAGGUUAACCGAAUAGGGGAGCCGAAGGGAAACCGAGUCUUAACUGGGCGUUAAGUUGCAGGGUAUAGACCCGAAACCCGGUGAUCUAGCCAUGGGCAGGUUGAAGGUUGGGUAACACUAACUGGAGGACCGAACCGACUAAUGUUGAAAAAUUAGCGGAUGACUUGUGGCUGGGGGUGAAAGGCCAAUCAAACCGGGAGAUAGCUGGUUCUCCCCGAAAGCUAUUUAGGUAGCGCCUCGUGAAUUCAUCUCCGGGGGUAGAGCACUGUUUCGGCAAGGGGGUCAUCCCGACUUACCAACCCGAUGCAAACUGCGAAUACCGGAGAAUGUUAUCACGGGAGACACACGGCGGGUGCUAACGUCCGUCGUGAAGAGGGAAACAACCCAGACCGCCAGCUAAGGUCCCAAAGUCAUGGUUAAGUGGGAAACGAUGUGGGAAGGCCCAGACAGCCAGGAUGUUGGCUUAGAAGCAGCCAUCAUUUAAAGAAAGCGUAAUAGCUCACUGGUCGAGUCGGCCUGCGCGGAAGAUGUAACGGGGCUAAACCAUGCACCGAAGCUGCGGCAGCGACGCUGAUGCGUUGUUGGGUAGGGGAGCGUUCUGUAAGCCUGCGAAGGUGUGCUGUGAGGCAUGCUGGAGGUAUCAGAAGUGCGAAUGCUGACAUAAGUAACGAUAAAGCGGGUGAAAAGCCCGCUCGCCGGAAGACCAAGGGUUCCUGUCCAACGUUAAUCGGGGCAGGGUGAGUCGACCCCUAAGGCGAGGCCGAAAGGCGUAGUCGAUGGGAAACAGGUUAAUAUUCCUGUACUUGGUGUUACUGCGAAGGGGGGACGGAGAAGGCUAUGUUGGCCGGGCGACGGUUGUCCCGGUUUAAGCGUGUAGGCUGGUUUUCCAGGCAAAUCCGGAAAAUCAAGGCUGAGGCGUGAUGACGAGGCACUACGGUGCUGAAGCAACAAAUGCCCUGCUUCCAGGAAAAGCCUCUAAGCAUCAGGUAACAUCAAAUCGUACCCCAAACCGACACAGGUGGUCAGGUAGAGAAUACCAAGGCGCUUGAGAGAACUCGGGUGAAGGAACUAGGCAAAAUGGUGCCGUAACUUCGGGAGAAGGCACGCUGAUAUGUAGGUGAAGUCCCUCGCGGAUGGAGCUGAAAUCAGUCGAAGAUACCAGCUGGCUGCAACUGUUUAUUAAAAACACAGCACUGUGCAAACACGAAAGUGGACGUAUACGGUGUGACGCCUGCCCGGUGCCGGAAGGUUAAUUGAUGGGGUUAGCGCAAGCGAAGCUCUUGAUCGAAGCCCCGGUAAACGGCGGCCGUAACUAUAACGGUCCUAAGGUAGCGAAAUUCCUUGUCGGGUAAGUUCCGACCUGCACGAAUGGCGUAAUGAUGGCCAGGCUGUCUCCACCCGAGACUCAGUGAAAUUGAACUCGCUGUGAAGAUGCAGUGUACCCGCGGCAAGACGGAAAGACCCCGUGAACCUUUACUAUAGCUUGACACUGAACAUUGAGCCUUGAUGUGUAGGAUAGGUGGGAGGCUUUGAAGUGUGGACGCCAGUCUGCAUGGAGCCGACCUUGAAAUACCACCCUUUAAUGUUUGAUGUUCUAACGUGGACCCGUAAUCCGGGUUGCGGACAGUGUCUGGUGGGUAGUUUGACUGGGGCGGUCUCCUCCUAAAGAGUAACGGAGGAGCACGAAGGUUGGCUAAUCCUGGUCGGACAUCAGGAGGUUAGUGCAAUGGCAUAAGCCAGCUUGACUGCGAGCGUGACGGCGCGAGCAGGUGCGAAAGCAGGUCAUAGUGAUCCGGUGGUUCUGAAUGGAAGGGCCAUCGCUCAACGGAUAAAAGGUACUCCGGGGAUAACAGGCUGAUACCGCCCAAGAGUUCAUAUCGACGGCGGUGUUUGGCACCUCGAUGUCGGCUCAUCACAUCCUGGGGCUGAAGUAGGUCCCAAGGGUAUGGCUGUUCGCCAUUUAAAGUGGUACGCGAGCUGGGUUUAGAACGUCGUGAGACAGUUCGGUCCCUAUCUGCCGUGGGCGCUGGAGAACUGAGGGGGGCUGCUCCUAGUACGAGAGGACCGGAGUGGACGCAUCACUGGUGUUCGGGUUGUCAUGCCAAUGGCACUGCCCGGUAGCUAAAUGCGGAAGAGAUAAGUGCUGAAAGCAUCUAAGCACGAAACUUGCCCCGAGAUGAGUUCUCCCUGACCCUUUAAGGGUCCUGAAGGAACGUUGAAGACGACGACGUUGAUAGGCCGGGUGUGUAAGCGCAGCGAUGCGUUGAGCUAACCGGUACUAAUGAACCGUGAGGCUUAACCU
rnacentral:rRNA from 1 species